rnacentral:tRNA from 1 species
AAAAAGAUAAGCUAACCAAGCUUAUAGGUUCAUACCCUGUCAAUGAAAGAAAACCCUUUCUCUUUUUA